AUGGCCGCGCAGGCCAGCCCGCUCCGCCGCUGGAAGCGCUUCUUCGGCGCCUUCGACUCCGUCGACGCCGCCAUCGAGGCCGCCGACCCUGACAUGUGCCGCGACGAGGUCCGGGGCGCCAGGGGCGACAUCUUUGAAUGGCUCUGCAACACCGCGGACGACGGCAUGGCGGAGAAGCUCUGCGGGGUUCUCGACGGCUUGAUGGCAGAGUCCCUCGAGACGCUGCGGUUGACUCCGGUGACGCCGAAGGUGCUCGCCACCACGGACCUCGCUAGGGCCAUCCGUGCGCUGCAGAAGCACGAGUCCGAGCGGGUCCGCAUCCUCGCCAGAGGCAUCGUGAGCGGGUGGAGGGCGUCCGCCCUGCACGACUUCGCCGUACAGCAUGUCUGCGCAACGACGACGGAGCGGCCUUCCUCCAAAGAGAUCGUCGGUCACGAUCGGCAGCAUGCCUCGGCCGAUCUUGACUCGAAGAAGAAGAAGAAGACGGCGGAGAUCAGCAGCAAGGCGUCCGAUCUCGUCAGCGGCAUCAACACGGCGAAGCCCAAGGAGGUCACCGUCGGUCGGCAUGUCAUUGUCUCGGCCGAUCCAGACACGAAGGCAAUGGAGGCCGCAAAGCGCAAACUCCAUGAAAGGUACCAGCAAGCAUCGGACGCGAAGCGGCAGCGCAGGGUGCAGGUGGUGGAGUUGCCGGAGAUGCUCAAGCAGAGGCAGCAAAAGAUGCACCCCAUCCUGAGGGAGAGGAACCUGGCUAGUUGCGCGAGCUCCAUGGUCAAGAAGACGUUCUCGGUCACGAGGCAGAUUCACAUGGGCAGUUGA
rnacentral:rRNA from 1 species